UAAUGUUGGUUUAUUGUUGGU
rnacentral:miRNA from 1 species